UACGUAGGGCGCAAGCGUUGUCCGGAAUUAUUGGGCGUAAAGAGCUCGUAGGCGGUUUGUCGCGUCUGUCGUGAAAGCCCACGGCUUAACCGUGGGUCUGCGGUGGAUACGGGCAGACUAGAGGCAGGUAGGGGAGAAUGGAAUUCCCGGUGUAGCGGUGAAAUGCGCAGAUAUCGGGAGGAACACCGGUGGCGAAGGCGGUUCUCUGGGCCUGUACUGACGCUGAGGAGCGAAAGCAUGGGGAGCGAACAGG
rnacentral:rRNA from 1 species